UUUAAAUAUGAAAUUUUCAAUAAAUCUGAAUUCUCCCUCUAGUUCUCCCCCAUGAUAUUUACAUUUACCUUUGCCUUUUCUUUUUUUUUUCAGACACUCUUCGGAAAAAAAACGGAGAACUUCAGGAUGAAACAGGUAACUUAUUUCUGACGUUUUCUCUUUUUUUGGAGGGGUGGAUGCAUUUCCUCAAAACAGCUUUUCCUUCUUUCCUUUCCUUCCUUUGAUAUUGCUUUAAGUCACUGUCUUCCAGGCACUUAACACCCUCUCAUUAUGAGGUUUGUUAAAUGAAGAGAACCAGGCUGAGAAGAAUGCUCUUUCUUCCAUUCCACAGAAAGCUUCCUUUUACCUGGGUCCUCCACCACCACAACUAGAUGCAGUGCCCGCUGUGUUGUAUUUGACA
rnacentral:lncRNA from 1 species